AACGUAGGAGGCGAGCGUUAUCCGGAUUUACUGGGCGUAAAGGGCAAGUAGGUGGUUAGGUGCGUGGGGUUUGAAAUCGUCUGGCUUAACUGGACGUGUGGGCCCCAAACGGCUUAACUUGAGGUAGGGAGAGGGAUGCGGAAUUCCUGGUGUAGUGGUGGAAUGCGUAGAGAUCAGGAGGAACACCCGUGGCGAAAGCGGCAUCCUGGCCCUGACCUGACACUGAGGUGCGAAAGCGUGGGGAGCAAACAGG
rnacentral:rRNA from 1 species